CACCCAUUGGAUCCUUCAUGUAGUCGGCCAUUUUGCUGCUCUUUACUGUGAAUGCACACUGUCGUUGAAUGUCUCCAUUGUCACACGGCACUUGCUUGUUCCCCAAUCCGCUCUUCUCUCCCCAAAA